rnacentral:rRNA from 1 species
UGGGGAAUUUUGGACAAUGGGCGCAAGCCUGAUCCAGCCAUGCCGCGUGCGGGAAGAAGGCCUUCGGGUUGUAAACCGCUUUUGUCAGGGAAGAAAUCUUCUGAGUUAAUACCUCGGGAGGAUGACGGUACCUGAAGAAUAAGCACCGGCUAACUACGUGCCAGCAGCCGCGGUAAUACGUAGGGUGCAAGCGUUAAUCGGAAUUACUGGGCGUAAAGCGUGCGCAGGCGGUUUUGUAAGACAGAGGUGAAAUCCCCGGGCUCAACCUGGGAACUGCCUUUGUGACUGCAAGGCUUGAGUGCGGCAGAGGGGGAUGGAAUUCCGCGUGUAGCAGUGAAAUGCGUAGAUAUGCGGAGGAACACCGAUGGCGAAGGCAAUCCCCUGGGCCUGCACUGACGCUCAUGCACGAAAGCGUGGGGAGCAAACAGGAUUAGAUACCCUGGUAGUCCACGCCCUAAACGAUGUCAACUGGUUGUUGGGAAGGUUCCUUCUCAGUAACGUAGCUAACGCGUGAAGUUGACCGCCUGGGGGAGUACGGCCGCAAGGUUGAAACUCAAAUGAAUUGACGGGGU